UGUGGUGGCAAUUUAAAGGGCCUGGGGCUCCAGCCUCUGCUGGGAGCCCCAGGCCCUUUAAAUUGCCCCGUGGGGAAGCCGAGCCACCCCGGUAAAGCACACCAGCAGUGCU